UGGAUAGAUGGUGAGCCGAAUAAUCUGAGGGAAGAGGAUUGCAUCGGAAUGUACGACACAAGGUUCCCGGCUAUGUGGAAUGACUAUCGUUGCUCUGGCCGUUACUUGAAUGUGGUCUGCGUCAGAGAUAUGCCGUCAUGUACCCUUCCAACAAUGAAGUAUGGCAAUGUCACUGCUGGUAGACUGUACCCUGGGAAUGUGGGCACAAUAGCCUGCGAGACUGGAUUCACAUUGUUUGGCAAUGCCACAGUAACAUGCGAUGACAAUCUGCAAUGGUCCACACCGACACCACAAUGCUACAGGAAACCCCAUUUGAAUUCGACGAAGCUGAAUUUCACGAUCCAACAUUAUCACGAU